GACGAACGCUGGCGGCGCGCCUAACACAUGCAAGUCGAACGAACGAGCGAGAGCUUGCUUUCUCAAGCGAGUGGCGAACGGGUGAGUAACGCGUGAGGAACCUGCCUCAAAGAGGGGGACAACAGUUGGAAACGACUGCUAAUACCGCAUAAGCCCACAGGUCGGCAUCGACCGGAGGGAAAAGGAGCCAUCCGGUUUGAGAUGGCCUCGCGUCCGAUUAGCUGGUUGGUGAGGUGACUGCCCACCAAGGCAACGAUCGGUAGCCGGACUGGGGGGUUGACCGGCCACAGUGGGACUGAGACACGGCCCAGACUCGUACGGGAGGCAGCAGUGGAGAAUAUUGCACGAUGGGGGAAGCCCUGAUGCAGCGACGCCGCGUGGAGGGAGAAGGUCUUCGGAUUGUAAUCUCCUGUUGUAGAGGAAGAUAAUGACGGUACUCAAUAAGGAAGUGACGGCUAACUACGUG
rnacentral:rRNA from 1 species